CAUGCACCAGUGGGGUCCCUCAGCCUGGCCUGUGGGAUUGGGCCGAAACCAGCUCUCUGACAUCCCCCGAGGGGUCCCGGAUUAUGAGAGUGCAGGCCAGGCUGAGGGACCCCACUGGUGCACG
rfam:Myotis lucifugus cont2.8582, whole genome shotgun sequence.